rnacentral:rRNA from 1 species
UACGUAGGUGGCAAGCGUUGUCCGGAUUUACUGGGCGUAAAGAGCGCGCAGGCGGUCGUUCAAGUCGCGUGUGAAAGCCCCGGCUCAACUGGGGAGGGUCACGCGAUACUGAUCGACUCGAAGGCAGGAGAGGGUAGUGGAAUUCCCGGUGUAGUGGUGAAAUGCGUAGAUAUCGGGAGGAACACCAGUGGCGAAGGCGACUACCUGGCCUGUUCUUGACGCUGAGGCGCGAAAGCUAGGGAGCGAACGGG